rnacentral:rRNA from 1 species
GAUCCUGGCUCAGGAUGAACGCUAGCUACAGGCUUAACACAUGCAAGUCGAGGGGAAACGACAUUGAAAGCUUGCUUUUAAUGGGCGUCGACCGGCGCACGGGUGCGUAACGCGUAUCGAACCUGCCCUUUACUCAGGGAUAGCCUUGCGAAAGUAAGAUUAAUACCUGAUGGUGUUGCGAUGAGGCAUCUUUUUGCAACUAAAGAUUUAUUGGUAAAGGAUGGCGAUGCGUCUGAUUAGGUAG